rnacentral:rRNA from 1 species
CCUACGGGGGGCAGCAGUGAGGGAUAUUGGUCAAUGGACGCAAGUCUGAACCAGCCAUGCCGCGUGCAGGAAGACGGCUCUAUGAGUUGUAAACUGCUUUUGUACGAGGGUAAACGCAGAUACGCGUAUCUGUCUGAAAGUAUCGUACGAAUAAGGAUCGGCUAACUCCGUGCCAGUAGCCGCGGUAAUACGGAGGAUUCAAGCGUUAUCCGGAUUUAUUGGGUUUAAAGGGUGCGUAGGCGGUCGGAUAAGUUAGAGGUGAAAUCCCGAGGCUCAACUUCGGAAUUGCCUCUGAUACUGUUCGGCUAGAGAGUAGUUGCGGUAGGCGGAAUGUAUGGUGUAGCGGUGAAAUGCUUAGAGAUCAUACAGAACACCGAUUGCGAAGGCAGCUUACCAAGCUACUUCUGACGUUGAGGCACGAAAGCGUGGGUAGCAAACAGGAUUAGAUACCCCAGUAGUC